UUCCCAUUGCUCUGUCAGGCCUAAGCUCACAGCUUCCUGGUUGGGUGUGCUGGGUGCUGCCUUUAUCCCACCAGAAUUCAAACUCUAAGUCAGCCCCAGUACUGGGGCACAGCUGCAGCCCCCUCCGGCCUGGCACCCCAACCCCGACUUCCACUCCCCUGGCGUUUCCACUGCUCUGCCCUGUGUGGCCAGAGGCAAAUUUGAAACAUCUCCUGUCCGGACGUUUUCCCUCCACAGGCCACUGGCAAGGAAGCUUGGGCUGCGGGAGCCACGGCCGGCCUGCUCCCUCUUCACCUGCCUGUCUUCUGCUCUGUCUGCCAGGCUCCUGCCGCUCCAGCGAGGUGGGGUCCUCCUGCCCUUAUGCGUGGUGCGGAGUCUGGGCUGAGUCUUCCUGAGGGCCGGGAGGGCCAGGCCAGCAGGGAGGGCACGCAGCCUCUGGCAAAAUUAAAAAAGGAAAGAGAACACCCAGCAGGCCGGUCUCUGGGGCAGUCAGGGGCAUACUGAACUGCUGUGCUGGAAGAUAACUGCAUGUGCACCCUCUCCACUAGGAGUAAGAUAAGUAAGCUUAAGGAAAAUGCCAAGGCACACCAUAGACUGAACGAAAUAUCUCCAAUGCUCACACCUGACAGAAGACUUAACCAGCACAUAGAAAAAAACUUCCAGUCCAGGAAGGAGAGAAAAGGCCACUAAAAUAUGGACAGAAGCCUCCUCCGAGAAGAUAAUGUGAGUGGCCACUAAACAACGAGGAGGUGCUCGCCCUCUGUGAUCACUGGGGAAGCAGACAUUAAGGCUAGGAUGGAGCGCCUCCGCACACCACAUCGCCCCGGUGAGACGGGCCGCUGGUGCGUGGGUACAGACCGUCCGGGACAUGCAUACUCCGGAAGGGAUGUGAAAUGCUGAAGCCAAUUAGAAAAAUAGUUCAGAAAUGAUAGAGACCACCCUCUUCUCUGCACAAACUUUUCCCUUCUGCCAUUUCAUGAAGGGACUUUGGACUUUCCAGCCCAGAACGGGUCUUGCUAUGUUGCCCAAGCUGGCCUCAAACUCGAGACUCUCCUGCCUCAGCCUCCAGAGUCCUGGGAGGACAGAACAAAAGGCUGCAAUACCGCGCACUUCCCUGGCCGGACCCACCUGCUGGUCAGCAUCUUGUCCUUCAACAGAGAGGGACGUGCUCCAGUUUCCUCCAGUUCCUGCGUCUCCACCAUAUCCCUGGGAAGAGUUGCAGUGUUCAGAAAAAAAAAAAAAAAAAGAAAGAAAGAAAGAAACAGCUCAACAGCACAGGCAGGAACUUUGAAACAAGAGAACGAGUUUGGGUGUGGUUGACGAACUGCCCCAGAUAAAUGUAAGACACGUAACUACAAAUGAUGGUACAUGGCCAGGAUUUCUUUCCCAUACAUGACCUAAUUAUAAAGUUUCUAAAAUUGUUUAUUAGAUGUGCUUUUGCCUCAGAGACAGAAUGAGAGAGAGGGAGAAGGCACCCCUACGAGGAGGUGGUCACGCCGUAAUCCCCUCUUCAUUUCCCCAGACCGUUGGCAUUUGGGACAUGCAUGUACACGGGCCUGACGUUUUUCAGACUUCGGGAACCAGGAUUCAAAUUGUAUUUGGCCACAGGGGACCCAGCUUCCUUCACCACUAAGCUAUGGAACCACCCUCUUCUUUUCAUUUUUUAAUGAUUUCUUUUCUGACAAUCAAUAUACAGAAUUAUAAAUCAAUAUUAAAUAGAAUAUC